ACACGUAUCCACGUAUCAAAACCCCUCUGUGCAAACCUCUUCUUUGUAAGGCUUGAUCGGAGUGUACUCAUUCGAUCUUAAUGAUGGGAGCCCCUUUUCGAGGGGCUCGGGAUCUAUGAGUGAGUAUCGCGUUGACGAUCAGCCGCUAUUUUCCAUCGUUAGCCCUUUACAACAUUUUAACCCCUUGUACUUUUAUGUACUGAACCAAUUCUUCGAGUUUCGGCUUCCUAGAAGCUGAGAUACGAAAGAUAUUACGAAACUAAAGAA
rnacentral:misc_RNA from 1 species